rnacentral:misc_RNA from 1 species
CAGAAAUGUCGCAAAUUCCUGAAUAGAAAACAUGAGCUCUGUAAAUUAUAUUUCAAGAUGAUGGCAUUCUUGGAGUGGUGUAUAUUAUCAGUACUACUAAUUGGAUUUUAAUUUCACAGAAAAAAUGAAUGAAGUUAAGAUUUGAUCUUAUAGGGAAGCCAGUAUAUUGACACAUUUGUGACAAUGACAAUCAUCAAGUUUCUUCUGCCAUGUCUUUCUUCCCCAGAUUGACUAAGUUUAGCAAGCUUGUAUGUUCUAAAUUUAAGAAAAAUAGAUUAAAAAAAAUAAUCUGAGAACUAAUUAUUCUGGGAUUCCCACCUUGAGAAAUUUUUUUUUAGACUAGAAAGCUCAAAUAGAUGUACAAAAAAAUUCUAAAUUAAGAGAAAUGUUUAAAGGCAAAUUGAAGAGAUAUUAUGUACAUAGCCCCACUGCAG